AUGCCUACGGGAGGCAGCAGUAGGGAAUCUUCCACAAUGGACGCAAGUCUGAUGGAGCAACGCCGCGUGAGUGAAGAAGGUUUUCGGAUCGUAAAGCUCUGUUGUUGGUGAAGAAAGAUAGUGAGAGUAACUGCUCAUUAUUUGCCGGUAAUCAACCAGAAAGUCACGGCUAACUACGUGCCAGCAGCCGCGGUAAUAAU
rnacentral:rRNA from 1 species